rnacentral:misc_RNA from 1 species
AAUUCUCAACCUUUUCAGCUUUCUUUGUUGAUCAGGCUUGGAUGUGGGAGUAUGCGGGCUUCUCAGAAGUCGGCUCUCCUGAAAUGCAUUAGCGGGACCUUUGUUGCCUGGCUUUGGUGUGAUAAUUAUCUACGCCAUUGUAGUCAAGCAGCUUAAAAUGAGGUUUCAGCUUCUAACCGUCUCCCCUGAGACAACUUUUCGACA